CUGUGAUCCACUGAUUUUAUUUUCUCCACUCCACCAUGCCAUCCCACUUUUCCUCUUAACUCCACGUGUUUCAUUGAUCGAAGUCGAAGGCAUUAUUACAGUAAGCGCAUCCUGAAGCAGACCUUCAGUAUUUGGCUAAAUCAAAGGACGUCCUGCUUAUAUCAGGAAAUAAUUUUUUGCAAGAACCUAAGAAUGAGGUGGGAAUGGAGGUAGAACAGGCAACUUUCCGAGUUUGGGGUGUUUGAAGUACUUUGGUGGGAUUGUGGGGAAAGGAGGGAGCUUAGGAAGUGGUGGGCAUGGAGGCUUAGUGAAAGGAGGGAUCUUCGGGAUUGGAGGUAGCGGUUUGAUCGGAAUAGGUGGCGGAAGCGGCUUCUUGAAAACAGGAAUUGGUGGUGGGAGAGGCUUAGUGAAAGGAGGGAUCUUUGGGAUCGGAGGUAGCGGUUUGAUUGGAAUAGGCGGCGGAAGCGGCUUCUUGAAAACGGGAAUUGGUGGUGGGAGUGGCUUCUUGAAAACGGGAAUUGGUGGUGGGAGAGGCUUAGUGAAAGGAGGGAUNNNNN
rnacentral:lncRNA from 1 species